UUGUUUAUAAACAUUUAUUUCCUGGUAUCAAUAAUCAGACAGGAUUCCUGUCAUUUCAACAGGUGAACACACCUCUGCUGUCAGAGGGGGCGGAGCCUCAUGUGGAUCCGGUUCAGGAUCUGGAGAAUCAGGUUCAUUUCUCCUGUUCGCUCCGACUCGAUUUGUGUGAACAGAAGGAGAAGCAAAGAUCUGAUCAGGUGAUUUACACUGAGAGGUUCUGGUCGGGUUCUGGAACUGGAAAACGGACCUGGUGGAGCUCAGAGACAGAAAUGAAUGAAGUCCAACAGAACUAUGAGGAAACUGAAGCUCCUGACCUUUGAUCUACUCAUAGCUCGAUGGCUCAAUGAGGAAACCGAAGCUCCUGACCUUUGAUCUACUCAAAGCUCGAUGGCUCAAUGAGGAAACUGAAGCUCCUGACCUUUGAUCUACUCAAAGCUCGAUGGCUCAAUGAGGAAACUGAAGCUCCCCGCCUUUCCUCAGAACUGAUCUGGAUCAGAACCUUUUCAUCUGAAUCAGCCAACCAGCAGUGGAGUUUCCUCCCUGUGUGUUGAUGGGUAUUUUUCCUUUCGAACCUUCAUUAAAAGAACCACAGACAACGUAUAUGAAUUUUAUGACCAAGCUUUUGCAAAAGGAGAAGAUUCAGCAAACUGCUCCUCCGAGCCGUUCACAGAGCGUUCUGAAGAGCCUUGGUUACAGCUUGUCUUUUAUUAUCAGGCAAAAAGAGGGAGGAUAGGUAAGGAAGACAGCAGAGA